UGGCGGACGGGUGAGUAAUGUCUGGGAAACUGCCCGAUGGAGGGGGAUAACUACUGGAAACGGUAGCUAAUACCGCAUAACGUCGCAAGACCAAAGAGGGGACCGUUCGGGCCUCUUGCCAUCGGAUGUGCCCAGAUGGGAUUAGCUAGUAGGUGGGGUAACGGCUCACCUAGGCGACGAUCCCUAGCUGGUCUGAGAGGAUGACCAGCCACACUGGAACUGAGACACGGUCCAG
rnacentral:rRNA from 1 species